AGACGGCUAGUCCAAAAAAGACUUCUGAUUUCGGCUCAGAAAAUUGUGGUUUAAGUCCACGGCCCUCUU
rnacentral:tRNA from 1 species